rnacentral:rRNA from 1 species
UGCCUUGUAGCGGGGGAUAACGUUUCGAAAGGAACGCUAAUACCGCAUACGUCCUACGGGAGAAAGGAGGGGAUCUUCGGACCUUCCACUAUAAGAUGAGCCCAAGUGAGAUUAGCUAGUUGGUGAGGUAAAGGCUCACCAAGGCGACGAUCUCUAGCUGGUCUGAGAGGAUGAUCAGCCACACUGGAACUGAGACACGGUCCAGACUCCUACGGGAGGCAGCAGUGGGGAAUAUUGGACAAUGGGCGAAAGCCUGAUCCAGCCAUGCCGCGUGUGUGAAGAAGGCCUUCGGGUUGUAAAGCACUUUAAGCGAGGAGGAAUGGCUCUGGGUUAAUACCCUUGAGCAGUGACGUUACUCGCAGAAUAAGCACCGGCUAACUCUGUGCCAGCAGCCGCGGUAAUACAGAGGGUGCAAGCGUUAAUCGGAAUUACUGGGCGUAAAGCGCGCGUAGGCGGUUACGUAAGUUGGAGGUGAAAUCCCCGAGCUCAACUUGGGAAUUGCCUUCAAAACUGCGUGGCUAGAGUGUGGGAGAGGAAGGUAGAAUUCCAGGUGUAGCGGUGAAAUGCGUAGAUAUCUGGAGGAAUACCGAUGGCGAAGGCAGCCUUCUGGCCUAACACUGACGCUGAGGUGCGAAAGCAUGGGGAGCAAACAGGAUUAGAUACCCUGGUAGUCCAUGCCG